AACGAACGCUGGCGGCAGGCCUAACACAUGCAAGUCGAACGUGAAGCCACCUUCGGGUGGAGGAAAGUGGCAGACGGGUGAGUAACGCGUGGGAACGUGCCUUUCGGUUCGGGAUAACCCAGGGAAACUUGGGCUAAUACCGGAUACGCCCUCCGGGGGAAAGAUUCAUUGCCGAAAGAUCGGCCCGCGUCGGAUUAGCUAGUUGGUGGGGUAAAAGCCUACCAAGGCGACGAUCCGUAGCUGGUCUGAGAGGAUGACCAGCCACACUGGACUGAGACACGGCCCAGACUCCUACGGGAGGCAGCAGUGGGGAAUAUUGGACAAUGGGCGCAAGCCUGAUCCAGCCAUGCCGCGUGGGUGAAGAAGGCCCUAGGGUUGUAAACCCCUUUCAGCGGGGAAGAUAAUGACGGUACCCGCAGAAGAAGCCCCGGCUAACUCCGUGCCAGCCGCCGCGGUAA
rnacentral:rRNA from 1 species